CCGUGGCUGGUGCGCGCGCGCGAGGGGAGCGCGAGGCGCUCGCCCACGGGGCGGGGACUGAGCCUGAGGGGAGCGUGAGGGAAGCCUUGAAAGUCCUGGUUGUGACAACGCCAGCUUCAGAUGUAGCUGCAACCCACAGAACAAUACAUCAUGACGUACAGCAGCCACAGUGGGCUGAAGGAAAGGCGUUCUCUGCAUGGAGAAGGAAACCC